ensembl:lncRNA
GUAAGUGUAAGUGUAGGUGUGAGUGUAAGUAUAAGUGUAGGUGUAGGAGUAGGUGUAGGUGUAGGUGUAAGUAUAAGUGUAGGUGUAGGAGUAGGUGUAGGUGUAAGUAUAAGUGUAGGUGUAGGAGUAGGUGUAGGUGUAAGUAUAAGUGUAGGAGUAGGUGUAGGUGUAAGUGUAGGUGUAGGUGUAAGUGUAGGUGUAAGUGUAGGUGUAAGUAUAAGUGUAGGUGUAGGAGUAGGUGUAGGUGUAAGUGUAGGUGUAGGUGUAGGUGUAAGUGUAGGUGUAGGUGUGAGUGUAGGUGUAAUUGUAAGUGUAGCUGUAGGUGUGAGUGUAGGUGUAAGUAUAAGUGUGGGUGUAGGAGUAGGUGUAGGUGUAGGUGUAAGUGUAGGUGUAGGUGUAGGUGUAGGUGUAAGUGUAGGUGUAAGUGUAGGUGUAAGUAUAAGUGUAGGUGUAGGAGUAGGUGUAGGUGUAAGUGUAGGUGUGAGUGUAGGUGUAAUUGUAAGUGUAGCUGUAGGUGUGAGUGUAGGUGUAAGUAUAAGUGUAGGCGUAGGAGUAGGUGUAGGUGUAAGUGUAAGUGUAGGUGUAGGUGUGAGUGUAGGUGUAAUUGUAAGUGUAGCUGUAGGUGUGAGUGUAGGUGUAAGUAUAAGUGUAGGUGUAGG